rnacentral:rRNA from 1 species
GGUGAACGCUGGCGGCGUGCCUAACGCAUGCAAGUCGAGCGCGCGGUCCGGCUUCGGUCGGGCUGGCGAGCGGCGAACGGGUGAGUAACACGUGGGUGACCUGCCCCGAGGAGGGGGAUAACCACUGGAAACGGUGGCUAAUACCCCAUGGGCUCGGCGAUUCGUUUCGUCGAGUAAAGCUCCGGCGCCUCGGGAGGGGCCCGCGGCCUAUCAGCUAGUUGGCGGGGUAAUGGCCCACCAAGGCUGUGACGGGUAGCCGGCCUGAGAGGGUGACCGG